rnacentral:rRNA from 1 species
GACGAACGCUGGCGGCGUGCCUAACACAUGCAAGCCGAGCGAGAGACUUCGGUCUCUAGCGGCGGACGGGUGAGUAACACGUGGGUAACCUGCCUCAUAGAGGGGGAUAGCCUUCCGAAAGGAAGAUUAAUACCGCAUAACAUCAGAUUGUCGCAUGGCAGUUUGAUCAAAGGAGUAAUCCGCUAUGAGAUGGACCCGCGGCGCAUUAGCUAGUUGGUGAGGUAACGGCUCACCAAGGCCACGAUGCGUAGCCGACCUGAGAGGGUGAUCGGCCACAUUGGAACUGAGAUACGGUCCAGACUCCUACGGGAGGCAGCAGUGGGGAAUAUUGCACAAUGGGCGAAAGCCUGAUGCAGCAACGCCGCGUGAGUGAUGAAGGCCUUCGGGUUGUAAAGCUCUGUCUUUGGGGACGAUAAUGACGGUACCCAAGGAGGAAGCCACGGCUAACUACGUGCCAGCAGCCGCGGUAACAC